rnacentral:rRNA from 1 species
AGGACGAACGCUGGCGGCGUGCUUAACACAUGCAAGUCGAACGAUUCCGCUCCUUCGGGUGUGGUUUAGUGGCGAACGGGUGAGUAACACGUGGGCAACCUGCCCUCCACUCUGGGAUAACUCCGGGAAACCGGGGCUAAUACUGGAUACGACCUUCGGCCGCAUGGCUGGGGGUGGAAAGUUUUUCGGUGGAGGAUGGGCCCGCGGCCUAUCAGCUUGUUGGUGGGGUGAUGGCCUACCAAGGCGGUGACGGGUAGCCGGCCUGAGAGGGCGACCGGCCACGACUGGGACUGAGACACGGCCCAGACUCCUGCGGGAGGCAGCAGUGGGAAUAUUGCACAAUGGGCGAAAGCCUGAUGCAGCGACGCCGCGUGAGGGAUGACGGCCUUCGGGUUGUAAACCGUCUUUCAGCAGGGACCAAGCGUGAGUGAGUGUACCUGCAGAAGAAGCACCGGCUAACUACGUGCCAGCAGCCGC